UGUUGCAAUUGAACAGAAUGAGGUACUCUC
rnacentral:piRNA from 1 species